UUGACCUCGGAUCAGGUAGGAAUACCCGCUGAACUUAAGCAUAUCAAUAAGCGGAGGAAAAGAAACCAACAGGGAUUGCCCUAGUAACGGCGAGUGAAGCGGCAACAGCUCAAAUUUGAAAUCUGGCCCUAGGCCCGAGUUGUAAUUUGCAGAGGAUGCUUCGGGCGCGGUGCCUUCCCAAGUCCCCUGGAACGGGGCGCCAGAGAGGGUGAGAGCCCCGUACGGUCGGCCGCUAAGCCUGUGUGAAGCUCCUUCGACGAGUCGAGUAGUUUGGGAAUGCUGCUCAAAAUGGGAGGUAGACCCCUUCUAAAGCUAAAUACCGGCUAGAGACCGAUAGCGCACAAGUAGAGUGAUCGAAAGAUGAAAAGAACUUUGAAAAGAGGGUUAAACAGCACGUGAAAUUGUUGAAGGGGAAGCGCUUGUGACCAGACUUGCGCCGGGGCGAUCAUCCAGCGUUCUCGCUGGUGCACUCGCCCCGGCGCAGGCCAGCGUCGGUUCGGGAGGGGGGACAAAGGUGUCUGGAACGUGGCUCCCCCGGGAGUGUUAUAGCCAGGCUCGCCAUGCCCCCGCCCGGACCGAGGUUCGCGCUCUGCAAGGACGCUGGCGUAAUGGUCACCAGCGGCCCGUCUUGAAACACGGACCAAGGAGUCGAGGUUCUGCGCGAGUGUUUGGGUGACAAACCCGCACGCGCAAUGAAAGUGAACGCAGGUGGGAGCUUCGGCGCACCACCGACCGAUCCUGAUGUUCUCGGAUGGAUUUGAGUACGAGCGUAGGGCCUCGGACCCGAAAGAUGGUGAACUAUGCUUGGAUAGGGUGAAGCCAGAGGAAACUCUGGUGGAGGCUCGCAGCGGUUCUGACGUGCAAAUCGAUCGUCAAAUCUGAGCAUGGGGGCGAAAGACUAAUCGAACCAUCUAGUAGCUGGUUACCGCCGAAGUUUCCCUCAGGAUAGCAGUGUUGUUCUUCAGUUUUAUGAGGUAAAGCGAAUGAUUAGGGACUCGGGGGCGCUAUUUAGCCUUCAUCCAUUCUCAAACUUUAAAUAUGUAAGAAGCCCUUGUUGCUUAGUUGAACGUGGGCAUUCGAAUGUACCAACACUAGUGGGCCAUUUUUGGUAAGCAGAACUGGCGAUGUGGGAUGAACCAUACGCGGGGUUAAGGUGCCGGAGUGGACGCUCAUCAGACACCACAAAAGGCGUUAGCACAUCUUGACAGCAGGACGGUGGCCAUGGAAGUCGGAAUCCGCUAAGGACUGUGUAACAACUCACCUGCCGAAUGUGCUAGCCCUGAAAAUGGAUGGCGCUCAAGCGUCCCACCCAUACCUCGCCCUCAGGGUAGGAACGAUGCCCUGAGGAGUAGGCGGCCGUGGAGGUCCGUGACGAAGCCUAGGGCGUGAGCCCGGGUCGAACGGCCUCUAGUGCAGAUCUUGGUGGUAGUAGCAAAUACUUCAAUGAGAACUUGAAGGACCGAAGUGGGGAAAGGUUCCAUGUGAACAGCGGUUGGACGUGGGUUAGUCGAUCCUAAGCCAUAGGGAAGUUCCGUUUCAAAGGGGCACUCGUGCCCCGUGUGGCGAAAGGGAAGCCGGUCAAUAUUCCGGCACCUGGAUGUGGGUUUUUCGCGGCAACGCAACCGAACGCGGAGACGGCGGCGGGGGCCCCGGGCAGAGUUCUCUUUUCUUCUUAACGGCCUGUCACCCUGGAAACAGUUUGUCUGGAGAUAGGGUUUAAUGACCGGAAGAGCCCGGCACUUCUGCUGGGUCCGGCGCGCCCCCGACGUCCCUUGAAAAUCCGCGGGAGGGAAUAAUUCUCACGCCAGGUCGUACUCAUAACCGCAGCAGGUCUCCAAGGUG
rnacentral:rRNA from 1 species